rnacentral:rRNA from 1 species
UAAGGAAUAUUGCUCAAUGGGAGAAAUCCUGAAGCAGCAACGCCGCGUGGAGGAUGAAGGGUCUAUGACUUGUAAACUCCUGUAAAGAAGGAAAAAAUUCCCGUUAGAUGGGAGAUGAUGGUACUUCUGGAGUAAGCCCCGGCUAACUACGUGCCAGCAGCCGCGGUAAUACGUAGGGGGCAAGCGUUGUCCGGAUUUACUGGGUGUAAAGGGUGCUCAGGCGGAUUUGUAAGUCAGAGGUGAAAUCUUACAGCUUAACUGUGAAACUGCCUUUGAUACUGCAAGCCUAGAGUAUGGAAGAGAGUGAUGGAAUAUCUGGUGUAGCAGUGAAAUGCGUAGAUAUCAGAUAGAACACCAAUGGCGAAGGCAGUCACUUGGUCCAUUACUGACGCUAAAGCACGAAAGCGUGGGUAGCAAACA